AUCUGUGGCACAUUAAGCAAGUGAGUGGGACACCUGUCAGAUUUUAACUGGAAUAGGCGUGUUAGUGGCAUGUAGAAAGAGAAUAAACAGUAAUCAUUAGUGCUGUAAAACUGGUGCAGUAAUAAAUGCUGAUUACACGUUUUCCUAUCAAAAUGGUUUGCAUGCCUCCUACUAAAAAUACAACCGUUUGAAACACUCUCUUCACAUUCUCUGAACAGCUGAACGACUU
rnacentral:lncRNA from 1 species